rnacentral:rRNA from 2 species
UACGGAGGGUGCGAGCGUUAAUCGGAAUCACUGGGCGUAAAGCGCACGUAGGCUGUUUGGUAAGUCAGGGGUGAAAUCCCGCGGCUCAACCGCGGAAUUGCCCUUGAUACUGCUGGACUUGAGUUCGGGAGAGGGUGGCGGAAUUCCAGGUGUAGGAGUGAAAUCCGUAGAUAUCUGGAGGAACAUCAGUGGCGAAGGCGGCCACCUGGACCGAUACUGACGCUGAGGUGCGAAAGCGUGGGGAGCAAAC